rnacentral:rRNA from 1 species
UAGGGAAUCUUCGGCAAUGGACGAAAGUCUGACCGAGCAACGCCGCGGGAGGGAAGAAGGGUUUCGGAUCGUAAAACUCUGUUGUUAGAGAAGAACAAGGACGAUAGUAACUGAACGUCCCCUGACGGUAUCUAACCAGAAAGCCACGGCUAACUAAGUGCCAGCAGCCGCGGUAAUACGUAGGUGGCAAGGGUUGUCCGGAUUUAUUGGGCGUAAAGCGAGCGCAGGCGGUUUCUUAAGUCUGAUGUGAAAGCCCCCGGCUCAACCGGGGAGGGUCAUUGGAAACUGGGAGACUUGAGUGCAGCAGAGGAGAGUGGAAUUCCAUGUGUAGCGGUGAAAUGCGUAGAUAUAUGGAGGAACACCAGUGGCGAAGGCGGCUCUCUGGUCUGUAACUGACGCUGAGGCUCGAAAGCGUGGGGAGCAAACAGG